AACUCAAUUGUACUGUUUUUAUUUUCUUGCAGAAGAAUUAAAUCAAGUUAGAGAGUCCAUGGACGAAGAAAGAAAAAGGAUAAAGACUUUGCUUCCAGUAAUAUCCUGUGGCAUUAGAGAUCAAACAGUUAUUCGUCGGAAGAGAAUCAUUGGUGGAUUUACUGCACAACCGCUUGAAUUUCCCUGGCAAGUGGCCAUUA